rnacentral:rRNA from 1 species
GAUGAACGCUGGCGGCGUGCUUAACACAUGCAAGUCGAGCGAGAAGUUUUGAAAAGAUUCUUCGGAUGAAAUUAAAAAUGGAAAGCGGCGGACGGGUGAGUAACGCGUAGGCAACCUGCCCCAUACAAAGGGAUAGCAUUUGGAAACGAAUAUUAAUACCUUAUGAAACUUAACUAGUGCAUGCUAGGUAGGUCAAAGAUUUAUCGGUAUGGGAUGGGCCUGCGUCUGAUUAGCUAGUUGGUGAGGUAACGGCUCACCAAGGCGACGAUCAGUAGCCGACCUGAGAGGGUGAACGGCCACAUUGGAACUGAGACACGGUCCAAACUCCUACGGGAGGCAGCAGUGGGGAAUAUUGCACAAUGGGGGAAACCCUGAUGCAGCAACGCCGCGUGAACGAUGAAGGCCUUUGGGUCGUAAAGUUCUGUUCUAGGUGAUGAAAACUGACAGUAACCUAGGAGAAAGCCCCGGCUAACUCCGUG